rnacentral:lncRNA from 8 species
CUCACCCUCUGGCUCCCUCCCUAUGUCUCUCUCUCUCUCUGUCUCCAUCUCCAUCUCCCUCUGUCUCCCUCUCUCUCUGUCUCCCUCUCUCUGUCUCUCUCUCUCUGUCUCCAUCUCCAUCUCCCUCUGUCUCCCUCUCUCUCUGUCUCCCUCUCUCUGUCUCUCUCUCUCUGUCUCCAUCUCCAUCUCUCUCUGUCUCCCUCUCUCUCUGUCUCCCUCUCUCUGUCUCUCUCUCUAUGUCUCCCUCUCUCUGUUUCCAUCUCUCUCUGUCUCCCUCUCUAUCUCCCUCUGUCUCCCUCUAUCUCCCUCUCUCUGUCUCUCGCUCUGUCUCCCUCUCUCUGUCUCCCUCUCUCUCUGUCUCCCUCUCUCUCUGUCUCCAUCUCUCUGUGUUUCCAUCUCUCUCUGUCUCCCUCUCUCUGUCUCCCUCUCUCUCUGUCUCCCUCUCUCUCUGUCUCCCUCUCUCUCUGUCUCCCUCUCUCUCUGUCUCCAUCUCUCUCUGUUUCCAUCUCUCUCUGUCUCCCUCUCUCUCUGUCUCCAUCUCUCUCUGUCUCCAUCUCUCUCUGUCUCCCUCUCUCUCUGUCUCCCUCUCUCUCUGUCUCCCUCCCUCUGUCUCCCUCUCUCUCUGUCUCCAUCUCCAUCUCUCUCUGUCUCCCUCCCUCUGUCUCCCUCUCUCUGUCUCCAUCUCUCUCUGUUUCCAUCUCUCUCUGUCUCCCUCUCUCUGUCUCUCGCUCUGUCUCCCUCUCUCUGUCUCCAUCUCUCUCUGUCUCCCUCUCUCUCUGUCUCCAUCUCUCUCUGUUUCCAUCUCUCUCUGUCUCCCUCUCUCUGUCUCUCGCUCUGUCUCCCUCUCUCUGUCUCCAUCUCUCUCUGUCUCCCUCUCUCUGUCUCUCGCUCUGUCUCCCUCUCUCUGUCUCCAUCUCUCUCUGUCUCCCUCUCUCUCUGUUUCCAUCUCUCUCUGUCUCCAUCUCUCUCUGUCUCCCUCUCUCUGUCUCUCGCUCUGUCUCCCUCUCUCUGUCUCCAUCUCUCUCUGUUUCCAUCUCUCUCUGUUUCCAUCUCUCUCUGUCUCCAUCUCGCUCUAUCUCCCUCUCUGUCUUCUAACUACCUCUUCAUCGCUCAAGUGAUUUGUCAAUGAAUUACCAACAUCUGUUUUAUUUUACUGGCGUUUUACACCGGCAUUUUAUUUAAUGAUGAAUAUCAUUUAUUGUGAGUUGAUCCAGAGUUACGUCCCAAAACGCACCAUAUUCCCUAUGUAGUGCACUACUUUUGACCUGGGAUAUAGGGUUCUAGUGCAC